rnacentral:lncRNA from 1 species
UAGAACAGUGUUGAGGUGUCCUCCAUCAUUCAAUUCCGUGAAUUUCGGGAUAGGGGUAUGAAUCUGGUACAUAUUUGGGUGUUUUUUAGUGGUUGGAAGGGGGAUUCAUUUUUUCCAAUGGUGAUUGGUCCACCUAUUUGGGAAUCAUCCAAGAAUUUGGUACAAAGGGGUACAAUCUGUUAAGGGUAGCCUGAUCCGAGUGAAAUUUUGAAUUACUCCCCUUUCGAAACACCUAGAUUCCCUCCGAAUUUGGAGCCCUAUAUAAAGACCGAUCAGGUCACUGUUAGGGGGAGAUUUUUUUGGUCUUGGCUCUAGGGUUCUAAGAGGGGAAGAAUUGGAGGGUCUAGAAAUUGUGUUUAGAAAAAGCUUUGGGAACUCGAAUUCUGUUUCAGAAUUUAGGUCGAAAAUCGUAGUUGAAAAUUUGGGGGGUCUCUUUAUUUUCUUCAAAGAGGAUUUUGAGGGAUUUUCGAUCUCACUUCUUUCGUCUUGGUGUUCGAAAUAUUGAGGGCUGGUCUCUGGUGGUUGAUACGCUGCUGAUAGCUUGUUUGUUCCCGUUUUGCUGCUCCCCGAACAGGUAACGUUCUUUCCAUUCAAUUCUUAAAUGUUUCAGCUUUAUCUCGCUAUUAUAUGGUGACAAUUGACGUUUUGGUAUGCUGAGAUGUUCACUGUUUUCUUUACAAUUUUCUAAACACAUUCAUUUCUUGUUGGUUGUAAGUUGCUAUAGCUAAAAGAAAAUGCAUUACCUUUGCAUGUUAGUGUAGGUACUGUUAGAGUAUGAGGCAUUAAACUAUUUUUCCGUCAUCUUACCUGUGUCAUGAUUGGUUUGAUGAUGGACGUUAAGUUUGUUCUUUGAUGAACAUUGUGUAAAUUUGCCCGGAAUUUUCUCUAUUCAAAGUUAUUUGACCCUCUCUGGAGAUGUUAUUAUUCAUACUCUGUUGAUACUUAAUUGCUCAGAAUGGUUAUUAUAGAAUGAUGUAAAUCUUAUAUCUCUUGGUUAUUACGGAAUGAUGUAAAUUUUAUGUCUUUUUAAAGUGAUAUUUUACAAAAGAUGUUUCGAGUUCUACGCACAUUUUAGCAUCAUUCGUCUCGUCGUUUCUUGGUUAAAAGAGGACUCUUCACUUUGUUUUCCCUGACUUACAAUGUCAAGAAGAAAACACUGGGAUUUACCUUUCAGGUGUCAAAUCCUUACUUUUUGUCUUUAAUGUCUACAAGUAUCAUGUUAUGAAAAUGCUCUUAUCUUUCUUUUGAUACAAAUAAUACAGGAUCUUAGUUUCCAUAAAGCUGACUGUUCCCAUCGUUGAUUAGCUUUCUUUUUUUGGGUNNNNNNNNNNNNNGAUGUAUUUAGACAUUUUUUACAGUCCACAUGUUUAUAGGUAGCAAGUGAAUCACUGUUUUCCUUUGUCUAAAAUGUUGUAUUUUUUGUUGAAUAAUUUAUCUAUAAAUGUAAGGACUCUUGAGAACAUACAUUAAUUCAUUCACCUUUUUCUUUGCAUGAACCCUCUUGGGACUCUCACAUUAUGAAUUGGGCCAUUGAGGCCCACCCCCUUUAGAAGACUUUGAACGCUGAUUAUAAAGAACAAGUAAGAGGAGUCGAAAGAAGAAGGAGGGGUCAAAAUCCCACAUUCGAAGCGGCUAAGAGACAAAAGUCUCAUUUGUUAUUUUAUUUUAUUUUAGUUAAUCAUUAUUGUCCUUGUUUAUUUUUAUUCACUUAUUUAUUCAUUCAUUUAUUUCGGCCUCGAAGCCAAAGUUGUAUUUAAUACAGGUGGAGCAGAUUUGAGCCACAAAGGCUUGAAAAUUAGACUAGGGCAGGUGAAAUGGUCAAAAACCCAAUUAGACUAGGACAAAUCUUAUUGGUUUGGGCUCAAUGGCCUAAAUCCCUCACUUACUCCCCUUUCCUCUCUCCUUUAUACUUGUUUUGCUUGUCUCUUUGCGAACCUAGUUAAAUCCCUAACUAAGUCGCUAAAAAUUGAUUUUCGCGAAAACCUUUUCCUUAAUCAAUUUCUUUUCAACAAACCAAUUUUCCAAAGUUAAUCAAAGAUGUUUUCAAACAGUCCGGAUAACCGCAAGUUAGCGAACGUUUUAGGUGNNNNNNNNNNNNNNNNNNNNNNNNNNNNNNNNNNNNNNNNNNNNNNNNNNNNNNNNNNNNNNNNNNNNNNNNNNNNNNNNNNNNNNNNNNNNNNNNNNNNNNNNNNNNNNNNNNNNNNNNNNNNNNNNNNNNNNNNNNNNNNNNNNNNNNNNNNNNNNNNNNNNNNNNNNNNNNNNNNNNNNNNNNNNNNNNNNNNNNNNNNNNNNNNNNNNNNNNNNNNNNNNNNNNNNNNNNNNNNNNNNNNNNNNNNNNNNNNNNNNNNNNNNNNNNNCGCAAAACAGAAAUGGCGACUCUGCUGGGGAUCUUUAACUAGGUUCUAACCAAAUGAUUGAUUUUGUCUUUUGAUUAACUGUUUAUGUGUUCUGAUUAUGUAAAGUUUAAUUAUUGCAUCUCAUGGCAUAUUCCUACAUUAUUCCUACAUUACUUAAACUGUUUUGGGGUUUCAUGGAUGUCCUGGCCCCUAUUGUUCAAUUCCAAAAUGUGUUGGAAAUACGAACAACUUAUCAGAGCGUGAGUCGUCUGACGCUGUUCGUAUUUUCAAACUCAAGUUGUCCGCUUGAGAACCAGUGUCCAAGCCCACUCUAGACACCGAGGAUAGAACGAAACCAAAACCCUAUUUUAGGCAUAUGCCUAGGACGACCCAAUAUCCGAGCGGGGUAUUGGGCCCAUGAGAAAACCUACCCUGCGUCUAUUGACCUCGAGUCAAUUACAAACAAAUUAUAUUUAUGUGUUGAAGAAAUACAUGCUUAUCUAAAUUCAAUCCAGUAUCCUUUGGGGUUGGGGGAAGGCUUAUCUUUGUCUGCUUUCAUGUAGGAUAUGGCUCAACUACAUUCUCACGAAAAGUUUAAGAUGGUUACCUAACCUGACGGUUUCUUGAAACUAUGGUGGGACCACAUAAGCGCAGAAGAGAGAAAGAUUGUUAGAACACAUAUUGGGCAUCUUCCUUCUUUGAUCGAGAUGGACGCUUGGCCCGAAAUGAUCCUUGUACUAACAACUUUUUGGGAUGAUCAGAACAUGGUAUUUCGCUUUGGGGAUGUUGAAUUGACCCCACCAUUGAAGAGGUAUUGAUUUGUUACGAGAGUACGGAAAUGUGUUUUAAGAUAAGGGAGAUACCGGAUUAGAAUAUUUUAGUCCCGGAUGUGUGGGAUCAUCAAAAGAUCAAGGAGGUAUUUUUAACUGAUGAUGACACCUGGCUAGGAGAACAUGAUGGAGCAAAUAUCACUUUUCUUGAGUUGUACCAUCGGUUAAAAAUAUUCAACUCUUUUCAUAUAUUUGGGCAUAAAAUGGAGUCGGAAGCAAAAUGGAAGGAAACGAGAGCUUUUGCAUUCGCGGUAGGCCUACUUGGAACCAUGGUGUUCCCGCAGGGGGGAAAUGGCACAAUUCAUCCGAGGGUUGUCACAGUGACCCAUGCACUCUUCUUUGGAAUGGAAUACAAUUCUAAAAAAGUAUUCCACAACUUAGCUCCCAUGAUUGUCGCCUACAUAUAUUGCGCUUUGGGAAGAUGUCAAGUCGAGAAACGUUUCUUUCAAGGAUGCAACCUUAUAUUACAAUGGUGGAUGAUGAUGCAUUUAGUAAAAAAUCCUAGAACGGCACAACCUGAUCACAAAACAAGGAGAAAUCUGCUAGAAUCGCACGACAUGUGGUUAUUUUUACAUAAGUUCAAAAGGGAAGCACCCCACGAAUUUUGGUUUAAAACUCUUGGAGAAUUAAGAGAUGGCAAUGUCCAAUGGUCUCUUAACUAUCUUCGUUCAGGGAAAUACAUCAUUCGAGGGGGCAAAUGGCCUUUUUUAGUGCUCCCGUGUCUCAGGGGAACCCGCCCCUACAAUCCUGGCAGAGUUCUUAGGCAGUUCGAGAUCAAGCAGGAGACGUCUCAAAUCGAUUCUAUACUCAGAUUCUUCACCGAAUAUGAUGAAAUUAAGACCUCUCUCAAAGACUACAUGAUAAAUGGAUGGAGAAGGAAAAGUGGGUAGAAUUCUCUUUCCGUAUAGGGUAAGAACCUGGAGUCAGCGACACUUACAAGGAGUGGUUGAAAAAGAGCCUCGCCGGAGCAUUGAAUCCGAGACCAAAUGUGCCCUCUCGGGUUGUGGAUGUAGAACCCAAGCAUCAAAUUCGGCUUCACAGGCUACAAGAUGAGUUCCAGAAAAGUGAAAUUGUGCACCGGUAGAUGCACAUGGAAGACGAUUUGAGGGAAGAGUUGAAAAGAGCUAGGCAAGACGCUGAUGAUGCCAGGCAAUGCCUAAUCGAUUUGGACGAUAGCAUGGCCUCCCAACUCGACAGCAUAGGAGAAAUGACUUACGACUGCAAGGCACAAUUAUGUGGGAGUCACCUUAUCAUCAAUAGGUAUCAAAUAGAACAUGAGGUAAAUAAGGCAAAGAAGGUGAAAGCAGACGAAGAAGCCUCCAGUAGCUAGCUUUUCUAUUCUCCCCUGCGCGGGAACUUAUCUUCUUUCAUGUUAUUUACCCUUUUCCCUAAAAAUUAUAUCCUUGUUUCGUUAUCUUUUAUAGGUAUUUAUGCCCUUUUUGUGUCUAUAUGAGUUGGGGGUUAAUGGAUUGACUUUGAGGAAGCAUAUAUUUUCUUCAAAAAAUCGUUAGGCCUGAACCCUUGGCUCAAAAAGGGUCACCCCAAUUAGGAUACGCGUCAUUAUAAUGUUUUGUGUAAUAUAACUAUUUUAUGUGCAAUAGAAAUUACUCUGUGUUGAUAAACUGGCAGAACAUCCCUACUUCACCUGAUCGAAAGCACAGAAAAUCUCAUCCUAGGACCAUUAUUCAAAAAUGACAGGUAAUGACAAAGAAAGCGCACUGGCUAUCCGGGAUAAUGAGAUAGCGGAACAGAAUGAGAUGAUUGCAGAACUUGCAAGAAAAUUAGAAUUGCUUCAGGAGGAAAUAAAUUGCACUGGAUAAUUGGCUAACUUGGCCAUCACCGUCAAUGCCCCUGCUCCGGGGGGUCAUGGGACUCCACUCCAAAUCCCUCCCCUCAGUGCCCCUAUUCUCGGGGACCAACCAACUAACGUAUCAUCUGACUCCGCUCCUCCAUUUGUCCAAAACACUAAUCGUGAAAAUAAUCCAGACGCCUACCAUCCAUAAAAUCCAUCCGCAACCCCAUAGAACCCAUCUUCGAAUCCAUUCCCAAAUCCUCAAAACAAAUUCUCAAAUAAACAAAAUGCAUUCCCAAAUCCACAAGAUUUACUCCCAAAUCCACAAAAUACGGCAAACCUACCUUCGAAUCCACCAAAUUUAUUUUUGAAUCCGCAAAAUCCCUCUCAUAUUUUGCCAAACUACUUACAAUGACCACAUAACCUUCCCAAUUUCCAAAAUGUUCUCCCCACUUACCAACCAAAUUCCCUCCAUCUGCAAAAUCAAGACUUUCUUCUAAAUCCCCCUCAAGCCAUCAUAUCCCCUGAUAUUUAUGAACCCCUUCCUAACCUCGAGCUGGAACAUUACGAGGAGAAGGAGAAGACAUGGAGGGACCAACAUGAAAGGAAUUUACUAGCCAUGCAAGAAGAGAUCAUGAGGAUCAAAGAGUCUUACGGGGCCAAGGACCACGACGGUUUGGGGUAUGAUGAUUUGUGUGUUCACCCAGGAGUAGACCUACCAAAGGAUACAAGGUCCCUAAGUUUGAGAUGUUUAAUGGUACCAGAAAUCCAAUGGCCCAUCUAAGAAGGUACUGCGAGAAACUAGUAAGGAUAGGGAAAAACGAGGCGUUAUUAAUGUGCCUAUUCAGUCAAAGUUUGAACGGUGAAGCCUUGGAGUGGUUCAUGUCUCAGGAGCCGAAAAGGUGGACUGGUUGGAAGACAUUGUCCAAGAUUUUCCUUGACCAGUUCGCAUUUAACAUUGAAAUAGUCCCUGAUCGGUAUUCACUAGAUCGAAUUAAACAAAAAAGCAUUGAGAGUUUUUGAGAUUAUGCUUUUCGUUGGAGGAAAGAAGCUGCCAAAGUGCAGCCCCCAUGUCUAAGGAAAUGGUGUCCGUGUUCUCUCGCUCUCAAGAAGGAGAAUAUUAUACCAUAAUGGCGUCCGUUGUCAGAGAAACCUUUACAGAUUUGGUAAAAAUAGGAGAAUCAUUAGGGUAAGGUAUUUGGACAGGAAAAAUUGCCAAAACCCCAACAUCAUCUGGAACUGCCAUGUUUUCUAAGAAGAAGAAGGAAGAGAUAGGUGCGGUUUCUGCCAAUUCUGUUACAAAAUCAAAACAGCGGUUCAAAUCUAGAAAUAUUUUAUCUUCCCCGCCAUCACCUAACCUUACGCACGUAUUCUACGUCCACCCCCAAUACCAAAAUCCACUCCCAAACAUCCCACCAUCAUACCAAGCUCCACAGCCAAAUAUCUUUCCCCAAUACCCAGUUCCACCUCCAAAUUAUCAGUCUCAUUUCCAAACUACUCCUCUAAAUAGCCAAAAAAAAUUCCAAAAACCUCCAAAUUACCACCAAGUAACCCUUCCUAAAAACCUAAGCCCGUAUAACCCGCAGCGUCCAAACCACGAAAAGAAACCUCCCCGAAACUUCACCCCACUAGCUGAAAGUUGCACCCAAUUAUUUAAAAGAUUGAAGAAUGCAGGUCAUUUGCAACCAGUACAGCCAAAUCCUGUCAAUCCUAGCUCUCGGUUUUAUCACCCUGAUCAAAAUUAUGCCUAUCAUUUAGGGGCAACAGGGCAUAGUACCGAGGACUAUCUUAUCUUGAAACACAGAAUCUAAGAUCUGAUUGAUCAAAAGGUCAUCACGCUCCAGGAACCUACUCCAAAUAUUAGCAGUAAUCCACUGCCCAACCAUGGGGAUCUACAGUUAACAUAAUUGAAAUAGAAGGCGAAUGGGCAUCUGGCAAGACCAUUACCCAGGUGAACUCCGAAAAGUGCAAAAGGGUGGAAGAGGUAGGAAAGAUAGAGAAAGUUGUGGCUGCCUUAAGUAUCAGCGAGAAUUCCCUAUUUAUAGUGAUGACUGCACCGACUCAAGUGUAUGAUCCCCCUCCAAAGAAGGAAUUUAUUGUGCAAACCGCCGCUUCCCAGGGGAUGAUGCGAUCAGGACGAUGUUACAUCCCUGAGGAAUUGACUAACAAAAAAGAUUCACAGAAAAGUCCAAUCACUGAAGGAGAGGCUGAGGAAUUUUGGAGGCGUAUACAACCAAAGGAUUACUCAAUUGUCAAACACUUGGAGAAAAUGCCAGCCCAAAUCUCUAUCUUGGCAAUAUUAUUGAGCUCGCAACACUACCGAUAAGCUCUGUCAAAGGUCUUGGAGAAAGCGUAUAUUCCCGUAGAAACGAGCAUUGAGAAUUUGGCUGAGAUGAUAGGGAACGUUGUGGGGAACCAUCGCAUAUCAUUCAGUGAUGAAGAAUUGCCAUUUGAAGGAGCAAUGCACAACAAAGCCAUGCAUGUCACCGUUAUUUGUUGAGAUUAUGCAAUUAAUCAGGUAUUAAUAGAUGACAGAUUUGGUGUGAAUAGUUGUCCCCUCUCCACGUUGGUCCAAAUGGGCCAUGAUCUGGGGAAAAUUCAUCAAAGCCACAUAAAUGUGAGAGCAUUCGAUGGAGGGAAGAGAGAUACCAUAGGAGAGAUUGAUUUGCACAUCUAAAUGGGGCCUACUGAGUUUAAGACUAAGUUUCAUGUUAUGGAUAUCCAUCCUAGCUACAACCUGCUUUUGGGAAGUCCAUGGAUACAUGGGGAAAAGGCAAUUUCAUCACCCCUCCAUCAAUUAUUGAAGUUCAUUUGGAAAGAUCAUGAAGUAGUCAUCCAAGGAGAAGGAAGUCGAGCGGACCGUCCCAAUGGUUAUGUGCCGGUGAUUGAAGAUGUUCCAAAAGGUAGCAGUUUCUAUACAGUGGAAAUUGUAAACGCUGCAGAAAGAGGUUCGACACCCAAAAUAUCAAUGCCUUCUGUCUACAAAGUGAUUGCAACUGUGAUGUUAAGAAAUGGGUUCGAACCUGGUAGAGGCUUGGGCAAGAAUUUACAAGGAAUUAUCGAGCCUAUUGUGAACCUAGGGAGAAGCUCUAAGCACGGGUUAGGGUAUCAUCCUACCAGAAAAGAUAGGGUUGAGGAUGAGCCAGAAAAGAGUGUUUAGGCCAUUGCCACUCCUGUUCUAGUCAUUUCCCGUACGAGAGAUGACAGAUGAUAAUGGUCUUGGGGAUGGGAUAGGAUAUUUGUUUGAAGGAUGCAAUUUUGUACCAGAAGACAUCCCAGUGGGGUGAAGCAGAUUGCGCCAGGGGAGGAUUUGCAAAAUCGGACCACCACUCCACUCAUAACCCGUCGCCCGUCGUGGUAGAUAAAAGGGCAAUUACUAAUAGUUUUGAAAUUGGUGAUGAUCCGAAGGAGGCCCCGCGAUCCAUCUUUUAUAUCUCAAAACUUUAUUUUCAUAUCUUACUGCUUUCAAAAAAGGCGGGCUCUUGUAUUUGUGCAAGUCACAAGCCAUGGUUUAGUAAUUAUUUCUCAGGAAAACUAUAUUAGUUCUAAAACGCUCCUAGUCAUAUGUUUUGUUAUUUUCUUAUCAUGUAACUUAGUUUGUUUGUCCAUUAUAGUAACAGUAGCUUAAAACCUGCCAAUGUUGUGUCAUGUCAAAGCUUGAACGAACAAAAUGAAGGGGACGAUGAUGGUUGGAAGGACGAUGAUGAGAAACGGUUAGUUGAAGAUAUGGAGGAAUUUGAGAAUUGUGAAAAACCCAAUCUGGAAGAAACUGAAACAGUCAACUUAGGAGAUCAUGAUGAAAUCAAAGAGACCAGUAUCAGUGUCCACCUCAUGGCGCCAUAAAGGGAAGAGCUCAUCCACAUGUUCCGGGAGUAUAUCGACGUGUUUGCUUUGUCCUAUGAUGAUACGCCAGGGUUGAGCACCAGCAUUAUGUCACAUAAAUUGCCGAUAAAUUCUGAGUUUGAUCCAGUCAAGAAAGAAAUAAGAAAAUUCAAGCCAAAUUUAAGUCUAAAUAUCAAGGAAGAAGUGACAAAACAAAUCCAGUCUAAGGUUGUCGAGGUCACAAAAUAUCCGACAUGGUUGGCCAACAUCGUCCCUGUGCCAAAGAAGGACAGCAAGAUUCAAAUUUGUGUUGACUAUAGAGACUUGAACAGAGCCAGUCCUAAAGAUAAUUUUCCGUUGCCCAACAUCCACAUUCUCAUCGAUAACUGUGCGAAACAUGAGCAAUCAUUCGUUGAUUGUUUCGCUGGCUAUCAUCAGAUACUGAUGGAUGAGAAAGAUGCAGAAAAAAUUGCUUUUAUUACGCCCUGGGGUGUUUAUCAUUACAGGGUAAUGCCGUUUGGUCUCAAGAAUGCAGGUGUGACAUAUAUGAGGGUCAUGACGAUGAUUUUCCAUGACAUGAUCCAUAAGGAGAUUGAGGUAUACGUGGAUGAUGUAAUUAUCAAAUACUGCGAGAGUUUGGAUCAUCUAACUCAUCUAGAGAAAUUGUUCAACAAAUUAAGAAGGUACAUUCUGAAGUUAAAUCCUACUAAGUGUGCUUUUGGUGUGCCAUCAGGGAAAUUGCUGGGGUUCAUAGUCAGCAGAAGGGGGAUCGAGCUAGACCCAUCCAAAAUCAAGAAAAUUCAAGACUUGCCACCGCCGAGGACCAAGAAAGAAGUUAUGAGUUUCCUGGGUCAUCGUAAUUACAUUAGCAGAUUCAUCGCUCAAUCAAUAGUCAUAUGCGAGCCAAUUCUCAAGAUGUUGAAGAAAAUGCACUGAAUGAGUGGAUAGAAGAAUGUCAGAGAGCUUUUGAUCGCAUCAAGGAAUACUUGUUUGCACCACCGGUUUUGGUCCCACCGAGAGAAGGAAUUCCAUUAUUGCUUUACCUGUCAGUCUCAAAAAAUGCUUUCGGAUGCGUCCUUGGGCAACAUGAUGAGACCAGCAGGAAAGAGAAAGCCAUUUACUACUUGAGUAAAAAGUUCACACCAUAUGAAGCCCGUUACGUUCACACCAUAUGAAGCCCGUUACACUCUUAUAGAAAGGACAUGUUGUGCUUUGACUUUGACGGCACAAAAUUUAAGGCAUCAUCUGUCGUCCUACACAACUUACCUCAUCUCGAGAAUGGAUCCAUUGAAGUAUAUAUUCCAGAAGGCCAUGCCUACAGGAAAGCUAGCCAAGUGGCAAAUAUUGCUGAGUGAGUUUGGCAUUGUGUAUGUAACCCAAAAAGCAAUCAAGGGGCAAGCCUUAGCAGAUCAUUUGGCUGAAAACCUAGUUGAUGAGGAAUACGAGCCACUUUGGACAUACUUUCCAGAUGAGGAAGUUUUAUUCGUAGGAGAAGAUAUCACGGAAAUCUACCCCGGAUGGAGGCUAUAUUUUGAUGGAGCGGUCAACUUCAAAGGUCCAGGAAUUGGAGCAGUUUUGGUGUCAGAAAUGGGCCAACAUUAUUCGGUAACUGCUAAGUUACAUUUUCCAUGCACCAACAACAUGGUUGAGUAUAAAGCUUGCAUCCUGGGGCUCAAAUUGGCACUUGAUAUGGGUGUUCGUGAAUCGCUAGCCAUCGGAGAUUCAGAUUUGCUAAUUCACCAAGUACGGGGAGAAUGGGCGGUAAAAAACUCCAAGAUUACUCCUUAUGUGGAGCUGGUGCAAGAAUUAUGUAGAAGAUUCAAGGAUGUUGAUUUCAUACAUAUCCCACGGACACAAAACAAGUUUGCUGACACUUUGGCCACGAUAUCUUCCAUGAUUCAGCACCCGGAUCAGAGUUACAUCGAUCCUUUGGAAAUAAGCCUGAAGGAGCAACCCGUGCAUUACAUACACGUGGAAGAGGAGCCUGAUGGAAGGCCUUGGUACUAUGACAUUAAGAGGUAUUUGGAAUCUGGAAUAUAUCCUGAAGAGGCUAGUAACAACCAAAAGAAGACAAUCCGGCAUUUGGCAAAUAAUUACUUUCCAAGUGGAGAAAUUCUUUUUAGGAGGACUCCUGAUUUGGGAUUCCUAAGAUGCGUCGAUGCGGCGGUAGUCAAUAAGUUGAUAAACGAGGUACACGCUGGAGUUUGUGGGCCCCAAAUGAAUGGGUUUGUCCUUGCCAGAAAGAUCCUGAGAACCGGUUACUUCUAGAUGACUAUGGAAAAUAAAUGUAGUAAGUUUGUGUAGAGAUGUCCAAAAUGUCAAAUACACGAAAAUCUGAUUCGAAUGCCUCCACACGAGCUUCACUCAAUGAAUUAUCCUUGGGUUUUUGUAGAUUGGGGCAUGGAUUUCAUCGGACCAAUAGAUCCACUAGCAUCGAAUGUGCAUAUAUUUAUUUUGGUUUCCAUUGAUUAUUUCACUAAGUGGGUCAAAGUUGCUUCGUACAGAGCCGUCACUAAGAAAGUGGUUCCAGAUUUUGUCAGGAAUAACUUGAUUUUCUGAUUCGGAGUGCUAGAAUCGAUUAUUACUGAUAAUGGGGCAAACCUGAACAAUCACUUGAUGAAAGAAAUUUGUGAUCAAUUUAAGAUUGUGCAUCGCAACUCAACAGCGUACCGCCCCCAAAUGAAUGGAGUCGUAGAAGCUACUAACAUGAAUAUCAAAAAGAUCUUGAGAAAGAUGGUCAAAAAUAGAUCAUGGAACGAGAUAUUACCUUACGCCUUUCUAGGGUAUUGAACAACAGUUCGAACCUUCACAGGAGUAACUCCCUAUUUACUAGUUUACGGGAAUGAAGCUGUGAUAACCGCUGAGGUUGAAAUACCUUCCCUAAGAAUUAUUCAUGAAGCUGGACUGAGUAAUGAAGAAUGGGUCCGUGCUCUCUAUGAACAAUUCAUGUUAAUUGAUGAAAAGAGAAUGGCCGAUGUGUGCCAUGGUCAGCUAUAUCAACACAGGAUGGUUCGUGCCUUUAACGAGAAGGUAAGAACUCGAGUAUUUGAAGUGGGGCAACUGGUUCUUAAACAAAUAUUCCCUCACUAAGAGGAUUACAUGAGCAAGUUCACUCCAAACUGGUAAGGGCCAUACAUAGUUCGGAAGGUGCUAUUUGGAGGAGCUCUGAUUUUGUCUGAGAUGGAUGGCACAGAGUAGACCAAACCAAUCAAUUCUGAUACGGUAAAGAGAUAUUAUGUUUGAAUGACGUUCUAGUUUUUGUGUUUUCUUAGUUUAUUUGUAAUCACCUUUGUAAUAAUGUUGUUUGCUAGUGUGUAACUUCCUAGAAUCCUUUCCCUUUAUGUACGAACUACGUUUGACCUGAAUUCCCAAGAAAGGGAUACGUAGGCGGCCUAUAUCGGCUUCGGUCAACCCCUUAGGAUAAUUUAUCUUUUCUCUUUAUGUAUGAACUAGGUUUGACCUGAAUUCCCAAGAAAGGGAUACGUAGGCGGCUUAUGUCGUCUUCAGUCAACCCCUUAGGAUAAUUUAUCGUUUCUCUUUAUGUAUGAACUACGUGAUGACUUGAAUUCCCAACAAAAAGAAUACGUAGGCGGCCUAUGUCGGCUUCGGUCAACCCAUUAGAUUUUUCUAUAUAUAUCCCUAGCGUAGGCCUAAACUACAUUUGACCUGAUUCCUACUUCAACGGGAUACGUAGGCGCCCCAACGGCUCGGUCAUAUAACCCUAGGAAAUGGAAACUGGGGCAGAAUUUUCGAGAAGGAAUCUCGAAAAUUCACAAGAGAAAAUCAACAUCCAACAAAGAGAAUGAAGAUCAGCAAAGACUUCAGAUCCACUCAGAUUGGUAUUAUCUCAAACAAGUUUAAACUGGGGCAGAAAUUUUGAGGAAGACCUCAAAAUUUCCACCAAAUGCCGAAACAUAUUCCAAAUUCCCCAGCACCAGAGGUUAAANNNNNNNNNNNNNNNNNNNNNNNNNNNNNNNNNNNNNNNNNNNNNNNNNNNNNNNNNNNNNNNNNNNNNNNNNNNNNNNNNNNNNNNNNNNNNNNNNNNNNNNNNNNNNNNNNNNNNNNNNNNNNNNNNNNNNNNNNNNNNNNNNNNNNNNNNNNNNNNNNNNNNNNNNNNNNNNNNNNNNNNNNNNNNNNNNNNNNNNNNNNNNNNNNNNNNNNNNNNNNNNNNNNNNNNNNNNNNNNNNNNNNNNNNNNNNNNNNNNNNNNNNNNNNNNNNNNNNNNCAAAAUUAUUUUCAAAAAUUUAAGACUAUUUUCAAAAAUCUUACGACUCACUUAUUUAGUACUUGCUUAGACAUCAUUUGGGAUGGAGUGUCAGGGUGUAAGUCUCAAUAUGGUGGAAUGCCCAAGAGAUGGCAAGGAGCAAAUCAACGAUCGAAGAAGGUCAACAUGGAGUAAUUUCAUUCAACUAAUCAUUUUUUUGUGGAUGCAGGGAUCAAUAUGCAAAAUCAGAGUCUCUUUCAAGAAUUCCCGAUCAAAUUGAGAGCCACAACAGAUCAUUAAUGCCCAAGAACAGUAUUUUAGGGCAACCCUAAAAAUAGGUUUAAUGCCCAUUUAUUGAGGACCUUUUGAUUUGUCCAUCUCAUUUCUUGAGAUCGUAGGCGACAAACAAAAGCACUUUGUCUUCUUUACACGUAUCGUAUUUAGAAGUUUCCUAAAAAUAGUCACUAGUAAAAGCGACUUUGUGUCUACUAAUCGUCUACCUUGACUACAGGUAUAUGUAGAAAGCAAGACACUGACAAAUGAAGCCAGGUAAAAUUAUUUUAUCACUUCCACAAUGGCCAUUGCAUAUCAUUGCUGGAAAGGCCAUCACAUAUCAUUGUUGCAAAGGCCAUUACAUAUCUGUUGACGUGCUAGACACAACGCUGGAGUCGAGGAUAUCAUCAGCAUUCAAUAUCUGUUGACGCGCUAGACACAACACUGGCGUAGAGGAUAUCAUCAGCAUCCAAUAUAUCUGUCAACACACUAGACACAAUGCUGGUGUCGAGGAUAUCAUCACAUCCAAUAUAUCUUUCGACACGCUAGACAUAACGCUGGCAUAGAGGAUAUCAUCAGCAUCCAAUGUAUCUGUCGACAUGCUAGAUAUAAUGCUGGCGUCGAGAAUAUCAUUAGUAUCCAAUUUAUCUGUAAACACUCUAGACAUAAUGCUAGCGUAGAGUAUAUCAUCAGCAUCCAAUAUAUCUAUCGACAUGCUAGACACAAUGCUGGCGUCGAGGAUAUAAUCAGCAUUCAAUAUCUAUUUACGCGCUAGACACAAAGCUAGCAUCGAGGAUAUCAUCAGCAUUUAAUAUAUCUAUCGACACGCUAGACACAACGCUGGCGUCGAGGAUAUCAUCAGCAUUCAAUAUAUCUUUUGACACGCAAGACACAAUGCUGGCGUCGAGGAUAUCAUCAUCUUUUCAUGAAUCAGCCUCUGAAUACAUUAAGAGCACACGAUUUGGAGGGACGCCUUCAAGUCGCUAUCUAAGGAUGAAUUAUAUAUAAGAUUUCCUAGUAAUUGACAAUUUGAAGGUCAUCUAUAAGUCAUAUUAUUUGAAAUAGGAUAGUGUGCAAGAUCACCUAUGAGUUGAUAGCCUGUAGGUCAUCUGUAAGCCACAAUAACAUCUAACCGAAUAGUGUACAAGAUCGCCCAAAAGUUGAUAGUUCAAAGGUUAUCCAUAAGACGCAAUUAAAUCCUUAUUGGAGGAUAUGCAAGAUUGUCAAAUUGAUACGUCCAAGGGUUCUCUAUAAGCCGCGUCAUAUCCAAGAUUGAUUAUAUGCAGGAUUACCCAAAGACGAUCAAUUUGAGGUAUUAUAUAUAAGUCAUAUUGUAUCCAAGGUCGAAUGAUGUGCAGGAACACCUGAAAGCUAGUGAUUGGAGGGAUAUCUGUAAGUUAUCUCUUAUCCAAAGUUGGAUGAUGAGCAAGAUUACCUAAAAGCUAUAAAUUCAAAGGAUAUCUGAAAGUCACCUCUUAUCAAACAUCAAAUAAUACGCAAGAUUAUCUGAAGAUUGACAAUUUAAGGAAAAUUUAUAAAUCGAUCAUCGGCUACAACCGGAGAGGUUAUCAUGCCACAUACAACAAGUGAUAUAGGUAACCAAAAGGGCCACCCCACUUUGAAAACAUAUUCACUCGACAGAUGAGCUAAUUAUACAACAACCAAGGAGGUUGUUAUGUCUGUUAUUGCGAGUUAUUUCCCAUCAAACAGGUACAAUAAAGGAUGACUUCAUUUUUUAGGCAACAACUCACGUGGAGAUAUGGUAAAAGAUUACUUACCUCUUUCGUGAAUUAUGUUUAACACUAACACUUUUUGCCUAAAGCAUUUUCGAGAGCAUCCGAGAGGAUGAAAAUCUCAAAUCAAAACCACAGGUCCGGACGACUCUAAAAAGGACGCAGCACAACGUGGAACUCUUUCUCAGCAAAAAAAUGGGACAUAGUCUGGAGAGGGAUGUCAAACUCUUUAGACGCGAGCUAAAUGAUGAUCACCACCACCAUUUAACCAUGCCUCUAUUAGAAGGCAUGUGGGUAUUUUUUGGAUAUUCUGGUCUCACCUUUACCUCUGGGAUGUUUGUUAACACAUACUGAGGAGAACUUUCUUUUUUUUUUUUUCAAAUUUGGGUGGCAACACACUUAGAGUUUCGGAAAUUAUGUCCGGGUAAGUUCUUGCCUAUGGAUGUGAAGAGCUCCACGUUCAUGGUUAAGAGUUUACAAGCCUCUUUUCUGCAACUCGAUUAACUUGUCACUCAUCCCGAGUCAGAGAUCGUCUGAAAUAAAAGACUAUCUUUUCUACCGAUUGAGUCGAACUACAAGCAGUCUGGGUGAAUUUUUUUGAAAAUUGUGCUUAAAAUCAAUCUUUAUGAACUACAAGUAGCCUAAAUUCUCAUGGAACCUGAGAUAUGUAGGAAACCUGAUAUCGAGGUCCGGCCAUGACUUUAUGAAACUAGUGCGAAAAACCAACCUUUUUCAGAUUCGAAUUUGUGGUCGGACAAAAUUAGGAGCGUCAACCUACCUUUGCCCAGGGUUACUUGCAUCCACCCUACCCAAAGGGAGGGGGCAGUUGCUGACACCUAAUUUUUUUCCUCCACAAAUCGAGUUUACUUUCGAGCUUCUUCGGUUGUUAAUAAAAUCAAAAUAUGUAUUUCGUCUAAAUAGAAACUUUUCAAAAAAUAUUCAUCUGUGCAAAUUUUGUCAUUCUUGAGUAACGAUUAUAUAUUAUCGUAUUUAGUUAUACGAAAUUAUGUAAUUUUGUUACUUAAAUAAUUAUUUUACGGAAUAUCAAAUUUUAAUCAAGGAUUAUUUUUUGAUAAUAAGUUCAAACAGUUGAAAUCUUGAUUUAAAUAUAAUUUAUUCUCAAAAAUAACUUAUUUGGAAUUUAAAUUUAAUUACCUAACUUAUAAUCCGAAUCCCUAAUCUACCCGAAAUAAUCCGACAUCAUAUUAGUUUUAGCCCACACCAAUCCCUCUUUUUUAUCUUUUCCCCGCAGCCCAAAAAGAAAACCAAGACCAAUUGGCCCAAUUUCAAGACCAACCCGUGGCCCACUCUUUUGUUACCAGCCCCCAAAUUGGCCCAAUACUCUCAAGAACCCGGCCCAAACCCCCCUUAUCUUCUCAACAACACCCACUUUCAAACCCUUAGCCAUAAACGAUCUCAACCAAAUGACCCAUUCCCCAACAACGGUGAAACCCGAUCCCUUCAGCUCCAAAUACCCGAUUAUCCUUCAGCCCUUCCCUUCACAAUAUGCUCAAACAAUGGCAAGCAAUAUUGAAUAUUAUAGAACAACAACAACAAUCGUAAAAUCGACCCCAAAUCCAUCGACCCAAGUUCGACCCAUUUUUAACCCGAAAAAAACCCAAAUACAUCUUUUCACCAUCAGUUCGUACGGAUUAUGUGACCCCCACAUGAAUGUGUACAUCGAGGAAUUUCGAACCUUCUAGAACAGUGUUGAGGUGUCCUCCAAUGUUUAAUUUCGUGGAUUUUGGGAUAGGGGUACGAAUCUGGUACACAUUUGGGUGUUUUUUAGUGGUUGGAAGGUGGGAUUCGUUUUUUCCAAUGGUGAUUGGUCCACCUAUUUGGGAAUCAUCCAAGAAUUUGGUACAAAGGGGUACAAUCUGUUAGGGGUAGCCUAAUCCGAGUGAAAUUUUGAAUUACUCUCCUUUUGAAACACCUAGAUUCCCCCCGAAUUUGGAGCCCUAUAUAAAGACCGAUCAGGUCACUGUGAGGGGGAUUUUUUUUUG